GAUGAACGCUGGCGGCGUGCUUAACACAUGCAAGUCGAACGGAAAGGCCCAAGCUUGCUUGGGUACUCGAGUGGCGAACGGGUGAGUAACACGUGGGUGAUCUGCCCUGCACUUCGGGAUAAGCCUGGGAAACUGGGUUUAAUACCGGAUAGGACGAUGGUUUGGAUGCCAUUGUGGAAAGUUUUUUCGGUGUGGGAUGAGCUCGCGGCCUAUCAGCUUGUUGGUGGGGUAAUGGCCUACCAAGGCGUCGACGGGUAGCCGGCCUGAGAGGGUGUACGGCCACAUUGGGACUGAGAUACGGCCCAGACUCCUACGGGAGGCAGCAGUGGGGAAUAUUGCACAAUGGGCGCAAGCCUGAUGCAGCGACGCCGCGUGGGGGAUGACGGCCUUCGGGUUGUAAACUCCUUUCGCUAGGGACGAAGCGUUUUUGUGACGGUACCUGGAGAAGAAGCACCGGCUAACUACGUG
rnacentral:rRNA from 1 species